rnacentral:rRNA from 1 species
GCUAAAAAUAAAUUUUUUAGUGAAACCUGCCCAGUGGAUAAAUAUAGUAUUAUUUUAAGUAAUAGUUUCACUAAAAUUUAUUUAAACGGCCGCCUUAUCCUGAGGGUGACAAUGUAGCAUAAUCAUUUGCCGCCUAAUUAGCGGAGAGUAUGAACGGAUUCACGAUAAUUUCACUGUCUUAAAUAAAAUCUAUAUAAAAUUUGAAUAAUAGUUAAGAUACUAUUUAGUUUUGUAAGACGAGAAGACCCUAUAGAGCUUUACUAUAUUUCUACAUUUUAAAAUGUAGAAAUAUAGUUUAGUUGGGGCGACUGCCUAAUAAUAUAAACUUAGGUAAGCAAUAAUGUAAAUACUUAAAUUUAUUGUAUAAUAGAUAAAUUUAACAAUUAUUAAAGUAGGUUAUAAUGACCCAAUAAAAAAAUUAAAAAAAAUUUAUUGAUUAAUAGAUAAUAUGCUACCUUAGGGAUAACAGAAUAAUAAUAAUAGUAAGACCAUAUUGCUAUUAUAGUUUAUCACCUCUAUGUUGAAUUAAGAUAUCCCAGUAAUGUAGUAAUUACUAAAGGUAGGUCUGUUCGCCCUUUAAAAUCUU